rnacentral:misc_RNA from 1 species
AAAUCGUACAAAGGUUUCCGUAGGUGAACCUGCGGAAGAUCAUUAACACGUAUCCAAACGUUAAAACAACGUUCUUGCUUGACACUAAAACAGCGAUCUCUCGUAAAACAGGCGCUAAAGAAUUCCAGAUAUUGAUUUGAGAGAACUCCGUCAUAAAUGGAACAACUGUUAACAAUGGAUAUCUUGGUUCUC